rnacentral:lncRNA from 1 species
UCAGGGGCGAGCCUACAGUCAGGACUCCAGCUCCAAGCUGGGAGCCCCACGCCCUCCUCCCCCGGGCAUGACGGAACCAAAGAGGCCUCACCGCUGGCGGAUGCCGCCCACGCUCACUCCACUGGGCCUGGGGCGCUGCACCGCGGCGCGCACAGAACCGCAGCUGUCGUCUGGUGUCACGGGCGACCCACACCGGCCACUUCCGGUGCCGGGCGGCACUGCGGCCAAUCCGAGAGAGUCCCACUCGCGGGAGGAACAGGUGGCCAUCGGGUCCACACCUCCAUACCCGUCCCAGCUUUCCCGUCUGCUGCUCUCGCCCUAAUUCACUUCAUCUUCGCCGGGCCGGGCAGGGGUGGUCGGCUUACGAGAAUGUCCCGGUGCACCUUGCGAAACCCACUGCGUCCCCGGACCACUGACGCACAGGGUCCUCCCGGUUUCCUAGAACGGCUCCGGGAAUGCACUUCCGCCCCGCAGCAGCCGCUCUGCGCGCCCCUGGCGUUUCCGUGGGCUGGAAAACUUGAAGCUCCGCAACUCUUCCCGCGGGGACGUGUUGAGCAGCGGUAUUUGUGCCUUCCCUACCACUUUCCAAGAGUCUGUCAACCGAGGACCCUAGAUUUAGGGUGCGCAUGUCAUCUUCUAGGAGCGAGGGGGGAGACCUGCUUUGAGGUUAGGAAGGCUUCAGGGAGUGAUGCUUUGACAAAAAUCUCAAGAUCGAGUGUGAUUUCCGUAGCCUGUUCAGGCAAUAGGAACUGCAUUAUUUGCUGGCCUUCCUGUCUUCUUGAAUAAAUUUGAUCUUUUAGUACAGCA